CAGGAUUAGAUACCCUGGUAGUCCACGCCGUAAACGAUGUCGACUUGGAGGUUGUGCCCUUGAGGCGUGGCUUCCGGAGCUAACGCGUUAAGUCGACCGCCUGGGGAGUACGGCCGCAAGGUUAAAACUCAAAUGAAUUGACGGGGGCCCGCACAAGCGGUGGAGCAUGUGGUUUAAUUCGAUGCAACGCGAAGAACCUUACCUGGUCUUGACAUCCACGGAAGUUUUCAGAGAUGAGAAUGUGCCUUCGGGAACCGUGAGACAGGUGCUGCAUGGCUGUCGUCAGCUCGUGUUGUGAAAUGUUGGGUUAAGUCCCGCAACGAGCGCAACCUUUAUCCUUUGUUGCCAGCGGUCCGGCCGGGAACUCAAAGGAGACUGCCAGUGAUAAACUGGAGGAAGGUGGGGAUGACGUCAAGUCAUCAUGGCCCUUACGACCAGGGCUACACACGUGCUACAAUGGCGCAUACAAAGAGAAGCGACCUCGCGAGAGCAAGCGGACCUCAUAAAGUGCGUCGUAGUCCGGAUUGGAGUCUGCAACUCGACUCCAUGAAGUCGGAAUCGCUAGUAAUCGUGGAUCAGAAUGCCACGGUGAAUACGUUCCCGGGCCUUGUACACACCGCCCGUCACACCAUGGGAGUGGGUUGCAAAAGAAGUAGGUAGCUUAACCUUCGGGAGGGCGCUUACCACUUUGUGGUUCAUGACUGGGGUGAAGUCGUAACAAGGUAACC
rnacentral:rRNA from 1 species